rnacentral:lncRNA from 1 species
AUUACCUUCCUCCUGACGAUAAGAGGGGCAUCAUCAUCAUCAUCCUCCAGAAUGGAAAAUGCUGAGGCUGACCGUUUGCGGCUUGGGGCACUCUUAGCUGUAGUAGGCUUGGCAGGGAGAGAAGAAGAUGGACGAGCAGACUGUUUAGUGCGACGAGAAAGAGAAGGACUCCGAACAGACAAAGGAGUGACCAAAACAGGAGGAGGAGAAGAAAUGCUCGGCUGGUCUAAUGAAUGAAAGACAUGAUUGGCGUCAGUCGCAAAUAACCUGCGCUUCACCGACGGCCAGAGUUGUUCAAAAAGAGGGUGACUGGCGUGGCUAAAAUUGAAAGGGGCUAAUGAAAAAUGGCUGGUUAAAAGAAGAUUGCGAGCAUUUAUAGCCUCUGCCUCCACCUUAUUAAUAGUGUGAAAACGGUCUAUUAAGUUCCUUGAAUAGUAAGGAGGAACAGACCAAGUUUGACCGAAACCAAGCUGGCGAGCAAAAAAUUGGGGAGCAUAAAUUUCUAUCCCUGCCUUGGCAUUGGUCCCAGUCAAGAUAUCAUGAAAUAACUCCCUCCCGGUUAAAAACUGGAUCCAAAUGAGCAGGGAGGUGCUCGCGCUGUCUAUAGUGGAGGGGGGAUGUACAUAGUUUAGAGUCAAAAAAGGAGGAAAAGGAAAAAAAAAGAGAUUGAAUCCAAAGAAUAAAAGAAUGAAAAAUGUCCCUUCUGGACAUAUUUAUAGGAGCCAAGGGCUCCAUGGCUAGCCCAUAGCAGCUAGCAGAGGAGCGAGAGAUUGAUGGAGCACCAAGCAAUGGAAAAUAGGAUCUCAACCACAGUUAAGUGAACCAAAGAGGUCCACUGCCAGUGGGAGAUGCACCAUUCUUCAAUUGAGUUUGAAGAGAGGCCAUGCCUCUAUAAAGGGCAGCAAAAAACAAAGAACAUAAAUUCAAAGGCCUGCCACGUGCCAAUUCGUGCGCUAUAGGUAAGUAACUCAGGGAGGGCUUUAUGCUUGGCACACACAAAACAUAUUUACAAAGUCAAACUAGAAGGAAGGCCACUCGCUCAGUAUGGGAAGACUCAGCGCUCGAAUGAUUGUGAAGGGUUUGCAGGUUUGAAUACGAACCGGUGUAGUUUUUACCAAACUUUGGGGCGCCACCAGAAUCCAAGAUACCAAGAAAAAUGGUAUCGCCCAAAGGUGGUAGAUUCACCGGAGCCCCAACAUCCCUUAAGGUAAUAGACAUGGGGCCAAGAGGGAAAAUAAAGGUGUUAUACUCGGAAGACCAAAAACUCAAAGCAACCGAAAAGAGUGCUGAAUCAAAAGUAGGGGGGCGAAUAGAGAUUUCUAACAAAUCAGAAAUCCUAGCGCUAUCAAAAAAUGCCUUAGUAGGACCAUGACCCACAAGGCGAGCAUGCCACCUACGAAAAGCUACAUCAGAUUUAGGCCAAGUGCGAAUACCUCUUUCGCGAAGUGACCCCAACGGUAGAGAGUUUAGAAAAGGAGGACCUUAAGUGCAAGGGAACAGCUGACCCACCGCCACCUGUUCAACUGCCUCUGCAUUGUUGAAGAAAGGACCCAAGUAGAACUCAUUACGUUCAACAUCGACGGGCGCAAGAAAACUCGGAGUUAUGUAUGGACGACUCAGAAGUUUCUGAAAGUCAUCAAAACUAAAGGAGUCGCCAGCUUGAGAUUGUGAAGCAGCCAUUUGAGAAGGACGAAGUUUUUCAGGGUUACGUAGCAGGGAAGCAAAAGAUGAACAGUAAAUCGUGAGAGAAACGCAAAAAAUUUGAGGCGUGGUUUAAUGGUGCAGUGAAAUGGCGUGUUUGGCGUGUUUGGGGAUUAUAAGGGUUUGCGAAACGACGCACCUUUUCAAGUUAUAGAAGAAAACAAUGAUUGAAAUUCUUGGAAAUUUCGAAUGUUGCUGGAAACACGAAGUGAAUAUGGUAAAAUUUAAUAAUUAUUAUUAAUUCUGCCAUAUUGGGGGGUAAUUGUUGACACAUAAAAAUUCAGCACAAAUCGAACGGCCCAAGGAGUGAAGCCCAAUUGAAGGAUCCCCAAAUCAGAUGGCCCAAAGAACGAAG